AACGCCAGAUGGACCCCUCUCUGGGUGAAUUGGAGUCACUGGAUCAAAGGGAAUUAGGAAAUCUGCUUUUCAAUAAUCCAAGGAUCAAAUAAGAAAUUACAAUGGAAAUGAGAAUAUAUUUUGAAUACUAAAAACAUGUCAAAGUUCAUGGGUUGCAGUUAAAGCCUUGUUUUAGAAGGAAAUUUAUCACUUAAGAAGUUAAUAAAGACUGAAAAUCAAUUCA
rnacentral:lncRNA from 1 species